GCCCGGGUGGUGGAAUCGGCAGACACGGAGGACUCAAAAUCCUCUGCCCGAGAGGGCGUGCGGGUUCAAGUCCCGCCCCGGGCA
rnacentral:tRNA from 1 species